rnacentral:rRNA from 1 species
UACGUAGGUGGCAAGCGUUGUCCGGAUUUACUGGGCGUAAAGGAUGCGUAGGCGGACAUUUAAGUCAGAUGUGAAAUACCCGAGCUUAACUUGGGUGCUGCAUUUGAAACUGGGUGUCUAGAGUGCAGGAGAGGUAAGUGGAAUUCCUAGUGUAGCGGUGAAAUGCGUAGAGAUUAGGAAGAACACCAGUGGCGAAGGCGACUUACUGGACUGUAACUGACGCUGAGGCAUGAAAGCGUGGGGGAGCAAAACAGG